rnacentral:tRNA from 1 species
GCGGGUAUAGUUUAGUGGUAAAACCUUAGC